rnacentral:rRNA from 1 species
UACGGAGGGUGCGAGCGUUGUCCGGAUUUAUUGGGUUUAAAGGGUGCGUAGGCGGCCCCUUAAGUCAGUGGUGAAAGCCCGGGGCUCAACCCCGGAACCGCCAUUGAUACUGGGGGGCUUGAGUACAGACGAGGUAGGCGGAAUUGAGGGUGUAGCGGUGGAAUGCGUAGAGAUCGGGAAGAACAUCAGUGGCGAAGGCGGCCUGCUGGGCUGUUGCUGACGCUGAGGCGCGACAGCGUGGGGAGCAAACAGG